UAAUCAAAAUUGAGUUGGGAAAUGUUUUUAUGAGUUCCCAACAUACAAACUGACUCAACGUUUCUCGUAUCCAAGUAACAACAUGUAUUUGAAAAAUAUUUCAAAUCUGUAACAAAGUUAACAACAUAUGUAUAAACAAAUACGUUUGACGUAUUUUUAAGUAUAGAAUAACUAUUUAAGAGCUAGAUUUCAGCCAAAUUCUGUCCGCUUUUGUAAAAUUCUAGUUUGAUGUGAUUUCGGCACUGUUGCAUUUAAGCCAUGAAAACUCUGGGUUAGUAGUUCUAAUCCAAAAUAUUGUUCACAUCGUUCAUUUUACUUGUUAUGAAGCGGUACUGGUUGAUGGAAGAUUAUUAUUAAUAUUAUUACCGUCUUUAUUAAAGAGGUUUUCAGCCCUUGGCUGAUGGAAGAUAGUUUUUUAAUAUUUUUUUGAGUUUAGGUGUGAUUUGAAAAACAUGUACCUUUGCGGGUAAAUUGGUCAUGUCGCCUGGGGUAAAGUGAGCAAUGUUCAGACAGAGAAAUGGAGACAAACUAGCUCAAAUAUUAAUCUCAAUCGGUUCGGUUGAUAGUGGUACGUCAAAAUCGUCAUCGGCGACAUAAACGCAUAGGUAGGAAGGAGGAGGAAAUGUAUAGGCCGGUCGUCGGACAGGAUAGUCUGCACACCGUAUCGGAUAAUAACGGCCAACGAUGCAUAAACUUCGCAGCCUCCCGCGGAAUGGUUGUCCGAAGCACCUUCUUUCCCCGCAAAAACAUAUCCACAAGACGGUAGACUAGCCUAAGGAUACGCGCAGCAGCUGAAAGUGGCACUCCCAACAAAAGAGCAACUAGGCGCAGCGUGUCUUGAAGAUGGCUGGAGAGAUAUUCGAUCCGCCAUUCGUAGCACCGCAACCACUGUACUUUGCACGGUGCCCCCGGGUCAGGGAAACUCGAUUUUCCAGAGGAAGCGCCAGCAGGAAGAUCAAGACGGAGCAACUGUACCGCGCUAAUAACACACGAAAGUUCUAUGAGAAGUUGAACCGUUCACUUAAGAGCCACGUGUCACCGGCUGAUAUGUGUAAGAACAUAAACGGGAACCUUCUUACAAACAAGCGUGAGGUGAUCCAAAGGUGGCGGCAGCACUACGAAGAACACCUGAAUGGCGAUGUGACAGACGAAGAUGGCGGUAUGGUGAUGAGCCUGGGAGAACGCGCGCAGGACAUAAUUUUACCGGCUCCGGAUCUCCAGGAAAUCCAGGAGGAGAUUGGCCGGCUGAAGAACAACAAAGCCCCUGGGGUUGACCAACGACCAGGAGAGUUAUUUAAACACGGUGGUGAGGCACCAGCUAGAGUGGUGCACUGGGUCAUUACCAAGAUUUGGGAGAAGGAAGUUCUGCCGCAGGAGUGGAUGGAAGGUGUCGUGUGUCCCAUCUACAAAAAAGGCGAUAAGCUGGAUUGCAGCAACUACCCCGCAAUCAUAUUGUUGAAGGCCGCCUACAAGGUACUCUCCCAAAUUUUAUGCCGUCGACUAGCAUCACUUGCAAGAGAAUUCGUGGGGCAGUACCAGGCGGGUUUUAUGGGCGAACGCUCCACCACGAAUCAGCUGUUUGCCAUUCGCCAUGUACUGCAGAAUUGUCGCGAAUACAAUGGAGCAAGCCUACAUAAGACUGAAGAGGGAAGCUAAGCGGAUCGGACUUGUCAUCAACACGUCAAAGACGAAGUACAUGAUAGAAAGAGGCUCAAGAGAAGACAAUGUGAUCCACCUACCGCGAGUUUGCAUCGAUGGUGACGAAAUAGAGGUGGUAGAAGAAUUUGUGUACUUCGGCUCACUGGUGACUGCUGAAAAUGAUACCAGCAGAGAAAUUCGGAGACGCUUAGUGGCUGGAAAUCGUACGUACUUUGGACUCCGCUGACAAUCUACAUAACAUCAUUAUAUUGGUAGUCCUCUACGGACACGAGACCUGAACGAUGCUCGUGGAGGACAAACGCGCACUUGGAUUUUUCGAAAGAAAAGUGCUGCGUACCAUCUAUGGUGGGCUACAGAUGGCGGACGGUACGUGGAGGAGGCGAAUGAACCACGAGUUGCAUGAGCUGCUGGGAGAACCAUCCAUCGUUCACAUCGUGAAAAUCGGACGACUGCGGUGGGCCGGGUACGUAGCCAGAAUGUUGGACAGUAACCCGGUGAAAAUGGUUCUCGACAACGAUCCAACGGACACAAGAAGGUGAAGUGCACAGCGGGCAAGGUAGAUCGAUCAGGUGGAAGAUGGCUUGCGAACCCUUCGUAGACUGUUUGGAUGGCAACGUGUAGCCAUGGACCGAGCUGAAUGGAGAAGACUCUUAUGUACUGCACAGGCCACUUUGGCCUUAGUCUGAAUAAAUAAUAAGAAAUAUGCAGGAAGGUGUCCGCUACUACAUCUACUAAAUACUUUUGUGAUAAAUUAAACGUAAAACUAUCUUGGACUUUAACUUUGAUGGAUUUAGUUAACUUCUGCAUCUACAGCUUUUACGCGCUGAUUACUUUCCAUUUUUUUCUGUGUACGCCCAGAGAAGUCGAGGAAUAUACAUUUCGAACUCGAACGGCAAUAGAAACACCACCUCAGGUUGUCGUGCUUUUACCGACUAGAUUAUCUGAUAUCUCAAUUGUGCAAACUUGAAUAAAAGCUAAAAAAAUAGAAAAUUUUCCAUGAUAUAUUAGGAAAUUGACAAUAGCAAUAAAGUAGUCUAAAUUUCCACAUUUUCAUAAAAAAUAAAGAAAUUACCAAGAAACUAAAAAAAUAGCACUAUUAAAAGUAAGAAUUGCACAUAUAAAAGAAGAAUAUUGGGUAUUUAAAGAAAUCAUAAUCCACUGAAAAAAAUUAAUUCCUAUAAAUAAAUCAAUGUUUGCAAUAAACCAUUAAAAAAUAAAAAUAUUUUUUUCACGGAAGAUUAAAAACUCUCCACAAAAAAAGACAAUAAAAAAUAAUAAAAACAUAUUGAUGUUUCCAUGGAAAAUAUAACAAAGCAAAAUACUAAAAAGUUGGAUCACAUAUCCAUAGUAUUGAAGAUUCUCUUUUCAAAAUCUGUUCUAAAGGUCUUGAUUUUUUUUAAUAAAAUAGUACAAACUCGUCUUAUGACAAGUGAAGACAUUCCACAAAAAAGCUCAGAAUAAUUUUCUUACCAGACUGAAUAUAAUCAAGCAGUCAUUGCAGCAGACACUUGUACGUGAAAUUGAGAUUGUUAACAAAUAGCAACCAAAAAACUAGGGUAGAAUGACCAAAACUGGUCCCCCUAGAAGCGGAAUUUUUCACUUUCUGCCAUAAGGCGAGGAAAUUUCCAACAUAUAAUUUGAAUUGCCAUUUGAAAAUCUAAGCAAAUUUGACCUAUAGUAGACCCCCUUGCUUCCCUAUAGUCGACACUCCAUUUGAUUUUCGUGUUCCAUUUCGGGAUGUUCUUCUUUCUUGUUAUAGAUCCCCCUAAGCAUUCCUGUUAUAGACACUCUCAUGUUUUUUUCACCAAAUUGUAAAAAAAAUAUUUGGUGCAUUCGAAAAUGGCAUUUCAAAUAGAUCAAAUUAUUAGAAUAUAAGUUAAAUUCUCCCGAUGGAAUUUCCUAGAAAAAUGUUUAUAUUAUGAUGUAAUAAUGCAGAUAUGGCUGAAGGGUCCACUAUUGGAUAGGGGUUCCCUAUUGGCAAUUAUGCCCUAGCAUUUGUGAAGGUCAAGUAUUAUUUUGAAGAAGCAUUACAUUACAUAUAUGCAUAUUGCAAGUGAUUAGGCAAUUAAUUUAUUGUGCAUAAUCUAUUUUUAUUCCCCU